rnacentral:rRNA from 1 species
GGUUAAGCGACUAAGCGUACACGGUGGAUGCCCUGGCAGUCAGAGGCGAUGAAGGACGUGCUAAUCUGCGAUAAGCGUCGGUAAGGUGAUAUGAACCGUUAUAACCGGCGAUUUCCGAAUGGGGAAACCCAGUGUGUUUCGACACACUAUCAUUAACUGAAUCCAUAGGUUAAUGAGGCGAACCGGGGGAACUGAAACAUCUAAGUACCCCGAGGAAAAGAAAUCAACCGAGAUUCCCCCAGUAGCGGCGAGCGAACGGGGAGCAGCCCAGAGCCUGAAUCAGUGUGUGUGUUAGUGGAAGCGUCUGGAAAGGCGCGCGAUACAGGGUGACAGCCCCGUACACAAAAAUGCACAUACUGUGAGCUCGAUGAGUAGGGCGGGACACGUGGUAUCCUGUCUGAAUAUGGGGGGACCAUCCUCCAAGGCUAAAUACUCCUGACUGACCGAUAGUGAACCAGUACCGUGAGGGAAAGGCGAAAAGAACCCCGGCGAGGGGAGUGAAAAAGAACCUGAAACCGUGUACGUACAAGCAGUGGGAGCCUCUUAAUGGGGUGACUGCGUACCUUUUGUAUAAUGGGUCAGCGACUUAUAUUCUGUAGCAAGGUUAACCGAAUAGGGGAGCCGAAGGGAAACCGAGUCUUAACUGGGCGUUAAGUUGCAGGGUAUAGACCCGAAACCCGGUGAUCUAGCCAUGGGCAGGUUGAAGGUUGGGUAACACUAACUGGAGGACCGAACCGACUAAUGUUGAAAAAUUAGCGGAUGACUUGUGGCUGGGGGUGAAAGGCCAAUCAAACCGGGAGAUAGCUGGUUCUCCCCGAAAGCUAUUUAGGUAGCGCCUCGUGAAUUCAUCUCCGGGGGUAGAGCACUGUUUCGGCAAGGGGGUCAUCCCGACUUACCAACCCGAUGCAAACUGCGAAUACCGGAGAAUGUUAUCACGGGAGACACACGGCGGGUGCUAACGUCCGUCGUGAAGAGGGAAACAACCCAGACCGCCAGCUAAGGUCCCAAAGUCAUGGUUAAGUGGGAAACGAUGUGGGAAGGCCCAGACAGCCAGGAUGUUGGCUUAGAAGCAGCCAUCAUUUAAAGAAAGCGUAAUAGCUCACUGGUCGAGUCGGCCUGCGCGGAAGAUGUAACGGGGCUAAACCAUGCACCGAAGCUGCGGCAGCGACACUAUGUGUUGUUGGGUAGGGGAGCGUUCUGUAAGCCUGUGAAGGUGUACUGUGAGGUAUGCUGGAGGUAUCAGAAGUGCGAAUGCUGACAUAAGUAACGAUAAAGCGGGUGAAAAGCCCGCUCGCCGGAAGACCAAGGGUUCCUGUCCAACGUUAAUCGGGGCAGGGUGAGUCGACCCCUAAGGCGAGGCCGAAAGGCGUAGUCGAUGGGAAACAGGUUAAUAUUCCUGUACUUGGUGUUACUGCGAAGGGGGGACGGAGAAGGCUAUGUUGGCCGGGCGACGGUUGUCCCGGUUUAAGCGUGUAGGCUGGUUUUCCAGGCAAAUCCGGAAAAUCAAGGCUGAGGCGUGAUGACGAGGCACUACGGUGCUGAAGCAACAAAUGCCCUGCUUCCAGGAAAAGCCUCUAAGCAUCAGGUAACAUCAAAUCGUACCCCAAACCGACACAGGUGGUCAGGUAGAGAAUACCAAGGCGCUUGAGAGAACUCGGGUGAAGGAACUAGGCAAAAUGGUGCCGUAACUUCGGGAGAAGGCACGCUGAUAUGUAGGUGAAGUCCCU